rnacentral:lncRNA from 1 species
AACCGUGGUGCACUUGCGGGAAACUCCUUGCCGAGGGCCUGUGCACCCCGGGAUUAGUCGGGGCUCUUUGAGACUCGGACACCUAGUGCAAAUAAAAAAAUAAUAAUAAAGGAUGAAAUAGCAUAAAUUUUUAAUAGACGUACAACAAUUGCUGUCUAAAACUAUCCCCAAAAUUUGUGUCUAAAAUGGAAAAUACAAUACUGUCUGGUACAAUAAACAAUAGUAAAGGAUAGGAAGGGAACUGCAGGGUCUGCGAAUGCCAUGCAGAACUACCUCAAGUCUCCGGGACAAGGUCUGAGCAAUCACCUCUGAACGCCGCUUGGACCAACACUGGGAUUUGCACAAGAAGUGUAGAACAGUAGUAUGAGUACAAUCGGCCCCAUGUACUCAUUAAAUAUCGAGCAUAACCUCGACGAAGUAGUGACGGGGCUAUGAUAAGACACUGACUGUAAACUUGCAUGAGUAAUAAACAAAGAAACAAUAACAAUGUAAAGAAAUGAAUAACUACAUAACGGACGGAGUAAAAAAAGUAGAUAACAGAGGGCCCCAGAAUAACAUCACGUCACAACCUCGAAACAUAACACGACACUGGAGUAUAAAAACCAAAAUUAGUUAUAUCACAUCCUUUCCGUUGCGGCAUGCAACCCGAUUCAAUAUAUAUUAGUAACAACACAUACUACAAAUCUCACAACAUAACAUAAAAGGGAACUAAAACACAUAAUUUUUCUUAGGCAAUCCAAUAUAACAUAGUAGAGUGAAAUAGGAAACAAGUAAAGAUAUUAAGGCAAGUAAAGACAUGAAAUAGGUAAAAACAUCUUUCUAAUAACAUGUAAGAGCACAUAACAAUUAAAGGUGUACAAUAACUAAAAGUAUGAAAUAAGUGAGAACGUGUUACAAUUUAGGACAUCUAACAUGAACGGACACAUAUAUCAAGUAAAACAUGUAUCACGUAUGAGCACCUAGCAAAUAAUAACAUGAAAUAAGUAAAUACAUGACAUAAUUAAAGAUGUAAGGU